CGCCGGCGCUUUCCCGCGUCGCACGCCCAGCCGGGGGCUUCAGGAGAAGCUCGCGGCCGCUCGGCGGGAGCCGCUGCGUGACUGGACGCGCACGCACACGGCUCCGAGUUGCCCGGCGGCCCAGCGCGCGUUGUCGGCUUGGACCCGAGCGGCCGGCUGCCCGGUUUUCAGCAGACAGCUGGGGCCAGAGCCACAACGAAGACAGGUAAAAAUAACACAGAUGUCAGCCUCUCUACUCCCAGAUGUGGACCAAAGCCACAGAGUUGUUGAUGGGAAGUGGAUUUUAUAUCCUCUGGGCCCAGUGAGCCAACAACAGGUCAGAUACCUCCCUGCCGUGUGACUCGUGGGACUUCAGCAUCGCUAUUCAAUGUGACACAGGUCCAGAGGUACUGGAGUAAUUAGUACUAUCUUGAGUAUCACUUUAUCAGCUGGAAGAAAAACAGCCUGACACCCCAAAGUGGUCUCAAAGGAAGCGAUGGACAGGAACACAUCAGCAGGGGCUGCCGACAGCCUCGGCAGAUCAGCAAGGCAGCAAAUCUGUCAACCUGGCCCAACUGUCAUAGCUGUCCCGUUCCAGUCACUGGUUCGCGCACACCGGCCAGGUGCACCCCGGAGGCCGUGGGCACGGGACUCGCAAUACAGUGUCAUGUGAUCAGGGCUUCGGUGGUCCACCACCCUGCAUUGCUUGACGUCACCCAGGGAACACGCAGGCCCCAAGGGGUGUCAUCUGGCAUCAGUGAGAAGCCACGGGCCCACCCUACCUUCAGAGCAGUCUCAGUGCCCAGCAGCUUGCACUCGAGGACAGCUUUGGCCACAGCGUCUCGGAGAGCCUUGUACUCAUCGCCGUACACCAGGUACCAAUCCAUCUGGCCUGGGUGGUCCUUCUGCAGCCCCAGGAAAACGGGGUCAAGUAGUCCUGAAUAUAAUCUUUUACAUCAUCGAAGCUGUGGGAAGAGAAAUAUUAUUCCUGGCUCUCUCAGAUCUGGAGAUGUAUCUUACUAAAAAAAGUGAGAAGAAGGGCUUGGUCUCCUGUUCCUGUUCUCACCCUGGGGCCUGGCUCCUGCAAGUCUGCUGCCUGCCCGCCCUGCCUCUGCUCACCGUCUGCUGCGCCAUGUGAAGAACAUGAAGAAAACCUGUCCUCACACACAUGGAGCAGCAAGGAACGUGUCACAGUUUUUGCAGAUCAUUGUGGACAUCGUUCCUUAACACUGUGCCAGCAGCGGCACUGUGAUCGUGUCUGAAGAUUGCCUCAAAAUGUCUUUAAAUCAACACCGUCAACUGUUUGGAUGAGGCCAGCAUGCUGUGCGGAUUUCCAGGAGGGGCCUGCCCAGCCCUGGAGAAGUCACGUGCAUCCGCCCAGCACGAGAGCCAGCCCAGAACCAAAGCGGCCGCUAACUCGGCACUCGUCACAAGUGACUUUCUGGGAGACAAAACAGCCAAAGCCAAAAUAGCGGCGUGCAGCUGCGGAUCAGCGUCAGCGCUGUUCUUCCUUCUGGAAAAGCGGGGAGCCGUGCGUGCGCUGAGGCCAGCCCAGGUACUCACCUUGUCCAGUAAGAUGACGUGCUCGGUCACCAGCCUGCGUAACUCGGGGACCUGGCUCUCAACUCCCAGGAGCACGUGUUCCACAAAGAGUGCAGUGGAGAAAAUCCGGCUCCAGUGAACUCUGUCGAAAGAGGGCGCCACUCACUCAGCUCCCAAGAAGGACCCAGGGUACAGUGAGGGCGCCACUCAGCUCCCAGCAAGGAGCCCAGGGUACGAUGAGGAUGCCACUCGCUCAGCCUGGCACUGGGCAGGCUCCUGGUGAGUUCGUGAGGGAGGGCCUCUGGCUCUCACCUGACUUCCCUGAUGACAGCCUGGGCCAGGGUCCCGCUGCCUUGCAUGUGCCCAUCCGAGCAGAUGAGUUCCAGCGGCAUGGAAAGAUUCUUCACUAGCUGUAGCCACGCCUGGGGACUGGGCUUCAGGGUGUCUCUCGUCAGCAUCUCGGUACAGGCCAUCGCGGCAAACGCGUCCAGGGUCUGGGGAGACGGACAGCAGGGCAUAGCUGAGCAGUGCCCCCACCCACUGCCCCGGCCCCCAUUUUCCUUGUGCCAGAGGCCCUGGCUGUUAGCUGCAUGGAUACUUGUGUCCCAGGCUUGCAACCGAAUCUUUCAUUGUCUGGGGUAUGGGAAGCGUCAGCAAGCUGUGUUCUUAACAUCUGCGAGUUAAGCUGAGGUCUGUGCCUCGUGAAGAAGUCUUCCACCUGGAACACAGCCCCAAAGCCUUCCCUUCCCAGAGUGGAGCUGGAAGCACCCCAACGCUGGCUCAAGGCAGGCGGAGGAGGACCAUACCAUCUCACGUCCAGCCAGCUCGUGGUUUCGAGAGGCUUCCAUCAGGCUGCGGAGAAUCUGGGGAUAGAUGGUCAGGAUUCUGGAGAAGUUCUGCAGCCGGCUUCUGAAACGCUGGUAGGCCAGGUGCACCCAUGGCAGGGAAACCUCUUCCUCAGGCACUUCUGAUGCCACGUUCAGUUCACGGACGCAGGACCACAGAGCCAUCUGCAGAAACUGGGAUUCAGACAAGCUUUUAGAAUCUGUUUUUAAAUGACAAACAUGGUAUGUUUUCCCCGUGGAAAAUCGUAACUAUUGGGAAACCAUAAAAGCGGAAAUGACAACUCCUGCGCGCUGUGACUGCCCCGGCCUGCGCCUGUCCGGUUCUGCCACUCCUCCCUCAUCCCACGUUAGGGCCACCGUGUCGUCUUCAUGUCGCGAACUUUCUCUAUUACUGAGUACACUUGUAUACUUGAAAAACAUUGUUUGAACGGCUGCUCGAUAGCCCAUCAUGUGGCCAUACUUUAACUUGCCCAUCCUGUAUUUCUGGACAACUAUUUAUGUUUAGAAGCAGCGCUGAAAACAACAUCCCUGUGAACGAAGCACUUGUCCACAUCAGGGCAGAGUCAGCACUGCAGAUCGAACGAGGCACUCAACUGCUCUGCCAGGUGGCCCUGCAGGGUGCCUGCUGUUCACGCCACCAUCAGCUGCGUGGCCUGGCCCUUCCUUUGCAGCACUGGCAGCUGUCCUGUUUAAAAAUCAGCUUUGCAGGCCAGGCGUGGCAGCUCACG